rnacentral:rRNA from 1 species
UACGAAGGGGGCUAGCGUUGCUCGGAUUGACUGGGCGUAAAGGGCGCGUAGGCGGUUCGUACAGUCAGACGUGAAAUUCCUGGGCUCAACCUGGGGGCUGCGUUUGAUACGUGCGGGCUUGAGUUCGGAAGAGGGUCGUGGAAUUCCCAGUGUAGAGGUGAAAUUCGUAGAUAUCGGGAGGAACACCUAUGGCGAAGGCAGCUCGCUGGGACGUUACUGACGCUGAGACGCGAAAGCGUGGGGAGCAAACAGG